UCUCUCACUCAACAGCCUCAUUCCCAAAUCCAAGGGCCUGGUGAGAACAGAAGUCACUUCCCAAGGUUCAGAUGAAGAGACUAUCAUGAAAUAAUGUGCUGUAGAUGUAUGGGAAGGAUUGGUCAGAAUGAAGAAGUACAGUGAGGCCUCCCCAAAAUAGUAACUGUCAAGUCCUUACCAUUCCCCAAGUGUAGAGGGGCAGAGGAGGUACUUGAGCCACAGUUAAGUUCUCAUCAGAAGGAUCAGAAUAGAAAUUCUAAAACAGAGAAAGAAGAAACAGAGCAAGAAAAAAAGCCCAUGGCUCUUUCUCUUCUUGCCCUCUGACUUCUUGGCACUUCUCACUGUCCUGAGGUUACAGUCUGUCUGACUAAUAAAGCAAGAGAAGAGGCAGGAGAAUCACCUCCCAGGCUCAGGGCAAAUGGGAGAUGACAGCAGAGGGUAAGGGUCUCCUAGAACCCAGCCUGACUUGGAAUUCACUACGUGGCCAAGGAUGGUCCUUGCAUUCCUGAUCCUCCUGACUCCAUCUCCCAAGUGCUGGGGUCACAGGGUACUAGGGUGGUGACAGCCAUACAGCAAAUGCCUGUCAUGCACUACGUAUGCAGUGAACGUCAACGGAAUAGCGUUGUCCAGAUCGUAUGUCAGAAUUGUGACAUUGUGUAUGGAGACCAUGCAUCUAAAGAAAAAUAAUAAUAUGUAUAAUUCUGAGGCAGCACUUAAGAAAACUCAUUUGAUCUUUAUUUUUUUUCUUUGUAGUAUGAUUUUAUCUAAGAGAAUAACCAAGCCUUUAUAUAAAGUUUGCAUUAAGAGCUGUUCCACUCCUUUUCCACUUCAAAGGAAAAUGUCUACUGUGCGCUGGCAAUCUAAAACUGAACAACUGAAGGCAAGCCUUAUGCUUAUUUCUUUCGCUGCUGUUUCUAUGGCAAUAUCACAACACCACCUGUUUGGGUCUGUGAUGAUCUUGGUGCCAGAAUAUUACUCAUUUUGACAUCUUUUUUUUUAAUUGAGGAAAAAUAACAAAGGGACAGAAAGUACU